rnacentral:snRNA from 1 species
CGGAGUUCUGAUGGGAUCCGU